rnacentral:rRNA from 1 species
GGAAAGCUUCGGCCGGAAGAUGCGUUAUCUAGUGGCGGACGGGUGAGUAACACGUGGGUAACCUGCCUUAUGGAGGGGGAUAACAGAGAGAAAUCACUGCUAAUACCGCAUAAGCACACAGUACCGCAUGGUAGAGUGUGAAAAGAUUUAUCGCCAUAAGAUGGACCCGCGUCUGAUUAGCCAGUUGGCAGGGUAAAAGCCUACCAAAGCGACGAUCAGUAGCCGAUCUGAGAGGAUGACCGGCCACAUUGGGACUGAGACACGGCCCAAACUCCUACGGGAGGCAGCAGUGGGGAAUAUUGCACAAUGGGGGAAACCCUGAUGCAGCGACGCCGCGUGAGUGAAGAAGUAUUUCGGUAUGUAAAGCUCUAUCAGCAGGGAAGAUAAUGACA